AGGGGGGGCUUAUCAUGCAAGUCGAGCGAACAGAAGGGAGCUUGCUCCCGGAUGUUAGCGGCGGACGGGUGAGUAACACGUGGGUAACCUGCCUGUAAGACUGGGAUAACUCCGGGAAACCGGAGCUAAUACCGGAUAGUUCCUUGAACCGCAUGGUUCAAGGAUGAAAGACGGUUUCGGCUGUCACUUACAGAUGGACCCGCGGCGCAUUAGCUAGUUGGUGGGGUAAUGGCUCACCAAGGCGACGAUGCGUAGCCGACCUGAGAGGGUGAUCGGCCACACUGGGACUGAGACACGGCCCAGACUCCUACGGGAGGCAGCAGUAGGGAAUCUUCCGCAAUGGACGAAAGUCUGACGGAGCAACGCCGCGUGAGUGAUGAAGGUUUUCGGAUCGUAAAGCUCUGUUGUUAGGGAAGAACAAGUGCGAGAGUAACUGCUCGCACCUUGACGGUACCUAACCAGAAAGCCACGGCUAACUACGUGCCAGCAGCCGCGGUAAUACGUAGGUGGCAAGCGUUGUCCGGAAUUAUUGGGCGUAAAGGGCUCGCAGGCGGUUUCUUAAGUCUGAUGUGAAAGCCCCCGGCUCAACCGGGGAGGGUCAUUGGAAACUGGGAAACUUGAGUGCAGAAGAGGAGAGUGGAAUUCCACGUGUAGCGGUGAAAUGCGUAGAGAUGUGGAGGAACACCAGUGGCGAAGGCGACUCUCUGGUCUGUAACUGACGCUGAGGAGCGAAAGCGUGGGGAGCGAACAGGAUUAGAUACCCUGGUAGUCCACGCCGUAAACGAUGAGUGCUAAGUGUUAGGGGGUUUCCGCCCCUUAGUGCUGCAGCUAACGCAUUAAGCACUCCGCC
rnacentral:rRNA from 1 species